rnacentral:tRNA from 1 species
AAGGCUUUAGCUUAAUUAAAGUGUCUGUUUUGCAUGCAGAGAUGUGGGUUAGUGUCCUGCAAGUCUUA